CAAAGGAAUUGACGGACCCGCACAAGCGGUGGAUCAUGUUGUUUAAUUCGAUGAUACGCGAGAACCUUACCAGGGCUUGACAUCCCCUGACCGCGUAUGAAAGUACGUUUUCACCCUCGGGUGACAGGGAGACAGGUGGUGCAUGGUUGUCGUCAGCUCGUGUCGUGAGAUGUUGGGUUAAGUCCCGCAACGAGCGCAACCCCUACGUUUAGUUGCUAACGCGUGAAGGCGAGCACUCUAGACGAACUGCCGUUGACAAAACGGAGGAAGGUGGGGAUGACGUCAAAUCAUCAUGCCCCUUAUGUUCUGGGCUACACACGUGCUACAAUGGCCGGUACAGACGGACGCAAAGCCGCGAGGUGGAGCAAAUCCUAAAAAGCCGGUCUCAGUUCGGAUUGCAGGCUGCAAUUCGCCUGCAUGAAGUCGGAAUCGCUAGUAAUCGCAGGUCAGCAUACUGCGGUGAAUACGUUCCCGGGCCUU
rnacentral:rRNA from 1 species